AUGACCACUUGGUAUGAGCUCUGUACUACCAGAUUGCAAAAGCAUCAAACUAUUGAUAAAGAUGCUCAAGGACAACUUGAGAAUGAAAAGGAGCACUGGAGAAAAAAUUUGUUCGAAAUUGUUUGCAUUAUUAAAUUUCUUGCCAAGCAUAAUCUAGCCUUUCGUGGUAGUAACGGCAAACUGUAUGAAGACAGCAAUGGGAAUUUCUUGGGUCCGGUAGAGAUGUUGGCUGAAUUUAACACAGUUAUUCAAGAGCAUGAUUGUCGUAUUACAAAUGAAGAAACUCAUGCUCAUCAUCUUGAUCAUAAGAUUUAG
rnacentral:rRNA from 1 species